UAGGGAAUCUUCGGCAAUGGACGAAAGUCUGACCGAGCAACGCCGCGUGAGUGAAGAAGGUUUUCGGAUCGUAAAACUCUGUUGUUAGAGAAGAACAAGGACGUUAGUAACUGAACGUCCCCUGACGGUAUCUAACCAGAAAGCCACGGCUAACUACGUGCCAGCAGCCGCGGUAAUACGUAGGUGGCAAGCGUUGUCCGGAUUUAUUGGGCGUAAAGCGAGCGCAGGCGGUUUCUUAAGUCUGAUGUGAAAGCCCCCGGCUCAACAGGGGAGGGUCAUUGGAAACGGGGAGACUGGAGUGCAGAAGAGGAGAGUGGAAUUCCAUGUGUAGCGGUGAAAUGCGUAGAUAUAUGGAGGAACACCAGUGGCGAAGGCGGCUCUCUGGUCUGUAACUGACGCUGAGGCUCGAAAGCGUGGGGAGCAAACAGG
rnacentral:rRNA from 1 species